CAAUGGACGCAAGUCUGAUGGAGCAACGCCGCGUGAGUGAAGAAGGUUUUCGGAUCGUAAAGCUCUGUUGUUGGUGAAGAAGGAUAGAGGUAGUAACUGGCCUUUAUUUGACGGUAAUCAACCAGAAAGUCACGGCUAACUACGUGCCAGCAGCCGCGGUAAUACGUAGGUGGCAAGCGUUGUCCGGAUUUAUUGGGCGUAAAGCGAGCGCAGGCGGAAGAAUAAGUCUGAUGUGAAAGCCCUCGGCUUAACCGAGGAACUGCAUCGGAAAUUGUUUUUCUUGAGUGCAGAAGAGGAGAGUGGAACUC
rnacentral:rRNA from 1 species